AACAGAGUAUUUUAUAAUCUGUUUUACUCUUACUAUCUCCAGAUCCAUACGUAUACUGUAUACAGUUACUUUGCAUAUCUACACCAACGUUAUCACCGCCUUACAUUUAAUGUUUCUUGAAUCGUUAAAACCGCAAAACUUCUGUUUGUUCUUUUGUCAUUCCCUCCAUAUUCUUCCGAACUUUAUUAUAUACACACAUUUACGUUCUUCACCUUCUUAAGCUAACCUCUCUCCUCUUUGCAUUC
rnacentral:lncRNA from 1 species